UACGUAGGGUGCGAGCGUUAAUCGGAAUUACUGGGCGUAAAGCGUGCGCAGGCGGUUCGUUGUGUCGGCGGUGAAAGCCCCGGGCUCAACCUGGGAAUGGCAUUCGGGACUGCAAGGCUGGAGUGCGGCAGAGGAGACUGGAAUUCCUGGUGUAGCAGUGAAAUGCGUAGAUAUCAGGAGGAACACCGAUGGCGAAGGCAGGUCUCUGGGCUGACACUGACGCUCAUGCACGAAAGCGUGGGGAGCAAACAGG
rnacentral:rRNA from 1 species